CACGUUCGGCCUAGGGGGUGUCUUGUUCGGUGGCGACGACACGACAACUUCAAAG
rnacentral:ribozyme from 1 species